GACGAACGCUGGCGGCGUGCUUAACACAUGCAAGUCGAACGGAAAGACCCUGCUUUUGUGGGGUGCUCGAGUGGCGAACGGGUGAGUAACACGUGAGUAACCUGCCCUUGACUUUGGGAUAACUUCAGGAAACUGGGGCUAAUACCGGAUAGGAGCUCCUGCUGCAUGGUGGGGGUUGGAAAGUUUCGGCGGUUGGGGAUGGACUCGCGGCUCAUCAGCUUGUUGGUGGGGUAGUGGCUUACCAAGGCUUUGACGGGUAGCCGGCCUGAGAGGGUGACCGGCCACAUUGGGACUGAGAUACGGCCCAGACUCCUACGGGAGGCAGCAGUGGGGAAUAUUGCACAAUGGGCGGAAGCCUGAUGCAGCAACGCCGCGUGCGGGAUGACGGCCUUCGGGUUGUAAACCGCUUUCGCCUGUGACGAAGCGUGAGUGACGGUAAUGGGUAAAGAAGCACCGGCUAACUACGUG
rnacentral:rRNA from 1 species